AUGUCAGGAUUCAGUUCAUCUUGUUUAUUGAACUCCUGCUGGAUACCAAAUUCUAGGGUUUUGGUUUUUUGCACUGAAUGUAGUCUAGACUCAUCUUCACGGGCUUGUGUUGCCCCAGGAUACUGUCAAAGGCAGUAUUUGUGUGUUUCUGCAGAGUUUUGCACAGAGUCUGUUCCCAUGCAAACCAAUGAGGGAGAAGUGUCGGAAGAAAGCAGUUCCAAGUGGUCUUCUUCCCCAAAACCCGUUGUCCCACUCUGAUCAUGAGAAAAACAUCAGAUAGAUCCUGAUAGAGGGAUGUCCUACAAAAUACCUGACCAAGACUACCCUCGAAACUGUCAAGAGAAAACAAGAUACGUCUGAGAAACUGUCACAGCC